rnacentral:lncRNA from 1 species
CACGAUCUUGGCCCACUGCAACCUCCACCUCCAGUUUCAAGCGAUUCUCCUGCCUCCGCCUGCCGAGUAGCUUGGACUACAGGCAUGCACGACCACGCCAAGGUAAUUUUUGUAUUUUUAGUAGAGACAGGGUUUUGCCAUGUAGGCCAAGCUGGUCUCAAACUUCUGGCCUCAGGUGAUCCAUCCACCUCAGUCUCCCAAAGUGCUGGGAUUAUAGGCAUGAGCCACCAUGCCCGGCCUUAAUCUUUGCUUUGGUAUCUGCUGUAAGAAUGACUUCUGCCACAAAAAGUCACACACUUUUUCUCCCACUUUUUAAAAAAACUGUUAUCAAAAAUAGGCAACUAUUUUUACUUAAACUUUGAAAAUAUAAUCCUGGACGUCUUAAGAUUAAAGAAUGUGAUGAUGAAAGCAGGUAACACUCAACUUGGAAAGAAGAGCAGAAAAGUACUUUCACUAGAGAAAUCGUAAUGAGAGGUUGCCAUCAUUUAGGCAGCAUGUGGGUACUUUACAAACAUAAAAUUAGAGCGUUACAAAAAUCCUUUGAAUUCCCUAAUUUUACAAACUUAAAGUCCUUAAUUAAAAACAACAACACAAUUGCAAGUUGACAAAUAAGACAAAAUCCCUUGCAAAAAAUAAUCAUUAAAAACUAGUAGUUACAGAAUAUAUUUUUACACUGAUUUUUGAAAAUGAAAUUUUGUGUUAAAAUCAUAAAAUAAAAAGCAUAAAAUAGAAGCUAUUAAUUAUGUUGUAAUGGUAAAUACUGGAUUUGGGCUGCUAUUUUAAUGGUAUUUAUUCUGCAUAAUAUGCAUAAUAUAUCUAUGUGGUCCCAUAUUCAUUUAUCCUAUUU